rnacentral:rRNA from 1 species
AGUUUUUAACUCAAGUGGCGGACGGGUGAGUAACACGUAAGAAUUUGCCUUUAGGAGGGGGAUAACAACUGGAAACGGUUGCUAAUACCCCAUAUGCUUUCGAGUGAAAUGGAUUUUUCCGCCUAGAGAGAAGCUUGCGGCUGAUUAGCUUGUUGGUAAGGUAAUGGCUUACCAAAGCGACGAUCAGUAUCUGGUUUGAGAGGAUGAUCAGACACACUGGAACUGAGACACGGUCCAG